GAUGAACGCUGGCGGCGUGCCUAAUACAUGCAAGUCGAGCGAACAGACGAGGAGCUUGCUCCUCUGACGUUAGCGGCGGACGGGUGAGUAACACGUGGAUAACCUACCUAUAAGACUGGGAUAACUUCGGGAAACCGGAGCUAAUACCGGAUAAUAUAUUGAACCGCAUGGUUCAAUAGUUAAAGACGGUUUUGCUGUCACUUAUAGAUGGAUCCGCGCCGCAUUAGCUAGUUGGUAAGGUAACGGCUUACCAAGGCAACGAUUCGUAGCCGACCUGAGAGGGUGAUCGGCCACACUGGAACUGAGACACGGUCCAGACUCCUACGGGAGGCAGCAGUAGGGAAUCUUCCGCAAUGGGCGAAAGCCUGACGGAGCAACGCCGCGUGAGUGAUGAAGGUCUUCGGAUCGUAAAACUCUGUUAUUAGGGAAGAACAAAUGUGUAAGUAACUAUGCACGUCUUGACGGUACCUAAUCAGAAAGCCACGGCUAACUACGUG
rnacentral:rRNA from 1 species